AAAGACGGAGCACGUAUUUCAGCACAGCUGGGGAGAUCAGAACCUGCCCACACUGGCCAACAGCUAAACUGCUUGAAAAAAGCCUUCUGGGGAAUGUGAUGGUGCACGUCUGUAGCCCCUGCGACUGGGAAGGCAGAGUGCCUGAGCCCUGAGCUGCCGUGGGCUAUGUACAGCAGGUGUCUGAACUAAGUCUGGUACCAUCACUACGAGGCAUCCCUGCUGAGGGCGCUGCGACCUUCCCAAUGACCCUGGCUCACAACCCGGGCGUCCUCCUUGCAUCAUCUUCUCUCAGUCAUCCCACAUGGGCCAAGUCUUGUCAUUACUAUCUUCACAGCAUCUGUUGUUAUCCACCUGCCACCCCCUUCCCUCUACUCCCAUGCUCAGGCCCUCCCUAGCAAUCUCUUAGACCACUGCAAUAGCCUUCUGAUUAGUCUCCACUCCAAUUUACCCUCCACUACCCUCUGCAAUAAAAAUGAG